AGUGAACGCUGGCGGUAUGCCUAACACAUGCAAGUCGAACGGCAGCACAGUAAGAUCUUGCUCUUACGGGUGGCGAGUGGCGGACGGGUGAGGAAUACAUCGGAAUCUACUUUUUCGUGGGUGAUAACGUAGGGAAACUUACGCUAAUACCGCAUACGACCUACGGGUGAAAGCAGGGGAUCUUCGGACCUUUCGCGAUUGAAUGAGCCGAUGUCGGAUUAGCUAGUUGGCUGGGUAAAGGCCCACCAAGGCGACGAUCCGUAGCUGGUCUGAGAGGAUGAUCAGCCACACUGGAACUGAGACACGGUCCAGACUCCUACGGGAGGCAGCAGUGGGGAAUAUUGGACAAUGGGCGCAAGCCUGACCCAGCAAUACCGCGUGGGUGAAGAAGGCCUUCGGGUUGUAAAGCCCUUUUGUUGGGAAAGAAAAGCAGCAGGUUAAUACCCCGCUGUUCUGACGGUACCCAAAGAAUAAGCACCGGCUAACUUCGUG
rnacentral:rRNA from 1 species